UAUCCUAACCGUGCAAAGGUAGCGCAAUCAAUUGUCCCAUAAAUCGAGACUAGUAUGAAUGGCUAAACGAGGUCUUAACUGUCUCUUACAGGCAAUCGGUGAAAUUGAUCUCCCUGUACAAAAGCAGGGAUACACCCAUAAGACGAGAAGACCCUGUGGAACUUUAAAACCAGCAACCACCUUAAAACACAUAUCCACCCACUGGGCUCACUGACACAUAAGACGCUGGUCUGCGUUUUUCGGUUGGGGCGACCUUGGAGCAAAACAAAACCUCCAAAAACUAGACCAUACCUCUAGACUGAGAGCAACCUCUCAACGUGCUAAUAGCACCCAGACCCAAUAUAAUUGAUCGAUGGACCAAGCUACCCCAGGGAUAACAGCGCAAUCUCCUCCGAGAGUCCGUAUCGACGAGGAGGUUUACGACCUCGAUGUUGGAUCAGGACAUCCUAGUGGUGCAGCCGCUACUAA
rnacentral:rRNA from 1 species